UAGUCUACCAAUUUCUAUUUCUGUGUUUGGUGUGAUUCCAUUUAUGUUGUUAGUUGUUACAGUACUAUUACUUGAUGAUCUAAUACACCGCAUAUUGAAUAUAAAUUGAAUGAACAGUAGACAACAAAACUAAUUGACUAAAAACCAUGGUCGAGAUAGUCUUAAUUUCGUAUGACAUAAAAAGACAGAAAAAGAAAGAAACACAUGUAGUGAUCUCUUUUUUUACCAA
rnacentral:ribozyme from 14 species